CAGAAAUGGGAGUUCCUUGCAGCCCAAAGCUUCAAGGAUGAAAUUCUUCCUGCGGUUUUGGACUGAAGGGAGCUCCUACUUCUU
rfam:Glycine soja cultivar W05 scaffold2295_21, whole genome shotgun sequence.